CCCAGAUGCUACUGACAAAAUUGUCAGCUGAGUCAACCUGUCUGGUCCUAAAAGUUGGUGAGUGGAAGAUCGCCCCUCAAAGGGACAUGAUUUUCAAAAGCUCAGACACAAUUCCCACUGAAGGCACGAGUCAGCUCCCUUUGGCACCUGGCAAAAGCCACAUGCCAGUGCAAACUAGCCAUGCUGGUGAAUAGCAGAGAUGGACCCCACCUCAAUAAACACACACGGCAUGGACCUGCCCUGGGAUGAGUCAGGGCCGUCCAAGGGCUGCUGUUGGUAGAAGCCCUGCUUCAUCAUUCGAUGAUGUUUGAAGAUGUGUGGUGAAGGAGAUCCUGACCCCAUGAACAGAUGGCACCAUGAUGUUCCAAGGAUCAUCCCCUUCUUCAUAGGAUAUCACUGGGUCUUUCUCCCACCAGGUCUCCCAACAAACCUUCUCCAUUAAUGACCAAAACUUGCCUGCGCACAGUUGGACAUCCCACUCACACCUCUCCCAGUGCAACAGUUCCUGUUACCACAAAUGCUGGCUUCA